AUCUCUCUCUCUCUCUCUCUCCACUACAAACAAUCAAGCUUGUUCUUUGAUCAUCGAUCGCUCAUGUACGGCAGUUGAGGGGAAUGUUGUCUGGUUGGAGACCUAACACCGCGAAUUAAUCAUCCAUGCCAUGGAAGCAGCAUAUGCCCGCCUGCAUCUAUCCAUGCAUGAUGGUGGAAGGUUUCGGACCAGGCUUCAUUCCCCCCAACUCAACACUCAGCUGCGUCGCUCUUCCGUCUCCGAUCCGAAUACACCGGCCGGCGGACGACGAUGACGACCACGACGGCGGCGGCGCUUCCUCAAGGCUCGCUCUGUUGGCCUGUCCUAGCUAGGAACCGUUCCGUCCCAUGCAUAUGAUCGAACGACAACUCUUUCUCCAGAAAAACUCGAGUGGAUGGAGAACGCAGUUCCGAAGGAGCUAUGAGGAUCUCAACUGUUCACACGAGCCUUUCCAAGUAAGGACGACGUCCCAUCUCGCCACAUGAUCUUUUCCAAGGUACCAUCACUUCAUCGUCCACACAACACAAAGCACUCUGGGUCGCAACAGUUUUCCAACAAAUACAAGAUUAGCUAGAGCGCGCCCAACCCUACCAAACAAGCGUUUGCCCACCGGGCCACCGGGCGCUGAGUCUUCAACGUUGCCUCCUACAUGGCCUCCGAAAAAAAAA